GUGGUUGUAGCUCAGUUGGUUAGAGCGCCUGGUUGUGGCCCAGGAGGUCGAGGGUUCGAGUCCCUUCUCCCACCCCA
rnacentral:tRNA from 1 species